AUUGAACGCUGGCGGCAUGCUUUACACAUGCAAGUCGAACGGCAGCGCGGGCUUCGGCCUGGCGGCGAGUGGCGAACGGGUGAGUAAUACAUCGGAACGUGCCCAGUAGUGGGGGAUAGCUCGGCGAAAGCCGGAUUAAUACCGCAUACGACCUGAGGGUGAAAGCGGGGGUUCUUCGGACCUCGCGCUAUUGGAGCGGCCGAUGGCAGAUUAGCUAGUUGGUGGGGUAAAGGCCUACCAAGGCGACGAUCUGUAGCUGGUCUGAGAGGACGACCAGCCACACUGGGACUGAGACACGGCCCAGACUCCUACGGGAGGCAGCAGUGGGGAAUUUUGGACAAUGGGCGAAAGCCUGAUCCAGCAAUGCCGCGUGUGUGAUGAAGGCCUUCGGGUUGUAAAGCACUUUUGGCGGGAACGAAAAGGACUGUGCCAAUACCACGGUUCGAUGACGGUACCCGCAGAAUAAGCACCGGCUAACUACGUG
rnacentral:rRNA from 1 species